GGCCCCAUCGUCUAGCGGUUAGGACACCGGCCUUUCACGCCGGCAACACGGGUUCGAACCCCGUUGGGGUCA
rnacentral:tRNA from 1 species